GUGAUAUUAAUACUAUUAUUAUUUUAAUUUUAAUAUUUUUGUUUUUAUUAUUGUUUUAUAUGAAAAAUUUAAGAUUGCAUUUUAUAUUUUAAAAUGAACACAAGAAUACUGAAACUAGAAUUGAAAUUUUCUUUCAAAUCUAACUCCUAAGAAUUAAAAAUCGAAGAUUUAGUUUUUAUUGUGAUUCCUGAAUUUAGUUUUGAUUUUGAUUCUUCACCAGAACUAUAUUGAAACCGAAACCGAAAUCGAACAUCCCUACUCGCCUCUACCCAUGGUUCAUAUUAAUCUAAUAAUAAUAAUAUUCUGUUGUAUUUCAAUUUGCAGUCCGCUGUCUUCAAAAACUCGGAUCAUUUUCUUUAAAAUUCGGUUUGUUUAACUGGCAACAAAAAAUAUUUACAUCCGAUCAUAAAUCACAAAAAAAAAAAAAUAUAUAUUUU
rnacentral:misc_RNA from 1 species